rnacentral:lncRNA from 1 species
AGAUGGUAUUACUAUUCACAGUGAAGCUGUUGGAGUUUGACUACACAAACAUUGACUCAAUGAGUCCUUAUAGUGGAUGUUUUAGUUGAUCUACUGUAGGAGUAGGGUGUACAUCAAGAUGGAAUCUAUCGAUCCGAGCAGAAGAGAGUAGUUCUAUGGGAUUAAAGAAGCUGAGUCUUUAAGUCUAUGGCAAUAGUAGUAUGAUUAAUGAAAAAGAGUUUCUAUGAGAAUCACAUAUGGACUCGAGCUGAUUGAAUCUAUCAUAUGAUCGAUG